rnacentral:rRNA from 1 species
GAUGAACGCUAGCGGCAGGCUUAAUACAUGCAAGUUGAGGGGCAGCAUGAUAUACGCGAGUAUAUUGAUGGCGACCGGCGGACGGGUGAGUAAUAGGUAGGAGACCUACCUCAUACAGGGGGAUAGCAUAGAGAAAUCUGUGGUAAUACCCCAUGAGGUUAUAUGAAUAGAGGCAUAUAAUCAAAGCAUAAGUGAUUAUGCGGUAUGAGAGGGGCCUACUGACCAUUAGCUAGUUGGUGAGGUAAGGGCUCACCAAGGCGAAGAUGGUUAGGGGUUUUGAGAGAGAGACCCCCCCACAUUGGAACUGAGAGACGGUCCAGACUCCUACGGGAGGCAGCAGUAGGGAAUAUUGGGCAAUGGGCGAAAGCCUGACCCAGCCAUGCCGCGUGAAGGAAGACGGCCUUAUGGGUUGUAAACUUCUUUACUACGCGAAUAGAGGUUAGUACGAGAUACUAAUAGGAAGGUAGUGUAGUAAAAGCACCGGCUAACUCCGUGCC